rnacentral:rRNA from 1 species
CAGUCGCCGCGGUAAAACGAAGGAUGCAAGCGUUAAUCGGAAUUACUGGGCGUAAAGCGUGCGUAGGCGGUGAGUUAAGUCUGCUGUGAAAUCCCCGGGCUCAACCUGGGAAUGGCAAUGGAUACUGGCAAGCUAGAGUGUGUCAGAGGAUGGUGGAAUUCCCGGUGUAGCGGUGAAAUGCGUAGAGAUCGGGAGGAACAUCAGUGGCGAAGGCGGCCAUCUGGGACAACACUGACGCUGAGGCACGAAAGCGUGGGGAGCAAACAGGAUUAGAUACCCGAGUAGUCCCUGUCUCUUAUAC